rnacentral:rRNA from 1 species
CAGCAGCCGCGGGAAUACAGAGGGUGCGAGCGUUAAUCGGAUUUACUGGGCGUAAAGCGUGCGUAGGCGGCUUUUUAAGUCGGAUGUGAAAUCCCUGAGCUUAACUUAGGAAUUGCAUUCGAUACUGGGAAGCUAGAGUAUGGGAGAGGAUGGUAGAAUUCCAGGUGUAGCGGUGAAAUGCGUAGAGAUCUGGAGGAAUACCGAUGGCGAAGGCAGCCAUCUGGCCUAAUACUGACGCUGAGGUACGAAAGCAUGGGGAGCAAACAGGAUUAGAUACCCCGGUAGUACCUGUCUCUUAUAC